GGGGAAUCUUGGACAAUGGGCGAAAGCCUGAUCCAGCCAUGCCGCGUGAAUGAUGAAGGCCCUAGGGUUGUAAAAUUCUUUCGACGGGGAAGAUAAUGACGGUACCCGUAGAAGAAGCUCCGGCUAACUUCGUGCCAGCAGCCGCGGUAAUACGAAGGGGGCUAGCGUUGUUCGGAAUUACUGGGCGUAAAGCGCACGUAGGCGGAUCGAUAAGUAAGAGGUGAAAUCCCAGAGCUCAACUCUGGAACUGCCUUUUAGACUGUCGAUCUGGAGCAGAGUAGAGGUGAGUGGAAUUCCGAGUGUAGAGGUGAAAUUCGUAGAUAUUCGGAGGAACACCAGUGGCGAAGGCGGCUCACUGGACUCUUGCUGACGCUGAGGUGCGAAAGCGUGGGGAGCAAACAGGA
rnacentral:rRNA from 1 species